AUUGAACGCUGGCGGCAGGCCUAACACAUGCAAGUCGAGCGGAUGAAGAGAGCUUGCUCUCUGAUUUAGCGGCGGACGGGCGAGUAAUGCCUAGGAAUCUGCCUGGUAGUGGGGGAUAACGUUCCGAAAGGAACGCUAAUACCGCGUACGUCCUACGGGAGAAAGCAGGGGACCUUCGGGCCUUGCGCUAUCAGAUGAGCCUAGGUCGGAUUAGCUAGUUGGGGAGGUAAUGGCUCACCAAGGCUACGAUCCGUAACUGGUCUGAGAGGAUGAUCAGUCACACUGGAACUGAGACACGGUCCAGACUCCUACGGGAGGCAGCAGUGGGGAAUAUUGGACAAUGGGCGAAAGCCUGAUCCAGCCAUGCCGCGUGUGUGAAGAAGGUCUUCGGAUUGUAAAGCACUUUAGGUUGGGAGGAAGGGCGUUUGGCUAACAUCCAGGCGUUUUGACGUUACCAACAGAAUAAGCACCGGCUAACUUCGUGCCAGCCGCCGCGGUAACAC
rnacentral:rRNA from 1 species